GGAAUAUUUUUAAAAACAACUAUGACAUUGAUAAUUUCAUUUUUAAAUUACAUUAUAUAUAUUCUACAAUAAUAAUGAUUUUAUUUUUCGCUGUAACAUUUUUUAAAAUGCAUUUCGGGACUCCCAUUGAAUGUGACCCAUUAUUGAAUGUGACGAACACGGAUUCUAUCAACAACUUUUGCUUCCAUUCGGGUAUAUACAUCAAUAAAAAAUCAAAUUUAACCCUAAAUGAAAAAUCAGCUGCACAUGAUCAUCAACCUAGCAAUUAUGUUCAUUAUCAUUGGAUUCCUUAUUUAUUUCUUCUACGGGCUUUUUCGUUUUAUAUACUAAACAUAAUUUGGAAAUUUAAUAUACAGGAAAUAAUAAGGGAACUAGUAAGCGACAUAAAUAACUGCCAAUAUAUUAAAGUUAAACGUAAAUUAUUAACUAAUAAGACACUUUUACACUUAAAGUACCAUAUUUUUUUCUGUUGUGAAUUAUUAAAUUUCAUUAAUGUGCUGAUACAAUUUAUUUAUAUGCCUAGUUUAUUAUCCAACGGAGGAAUUGAUUUUUUUGAAGAAGUAUUUCCAUUGCAAACAAUAUGCAAUUAUGACCAAAAGAGUCCGAGUGGUAAUACUGAAAACAACGAGUACUUGUGUAUACUUUCAAUUAAUAUUAUGUAUCGAUAUAUACAUUUUAUACUUUGGUUUUGGUUACUCUUUCUAUGUAUAAUAAGUGCCAUUCCAAUUAUGAAAUUUUUAUUAUUAUUUUUUAGCAAGGAUUGGCGGAAAGAAUAUGAUGAUAGAAAUAUAUUACUGCUCCUUUGCAAAAAUAAUACAUUAAAAGAUAAUGAAAACGUAAAUGAAGAAGAAUUAUCUACAGGAGCAUUGUUUAUUCUGGAUAUAAUUAAAAAAAAUGUCACCAGUAUCCAGUAUCACCAGAUACCAAACGUGUAACAAAUAAAAUGUUUCUUAACUGAAUCAUUUUCAAUUUGUAUCAGUUACCUUGAAAUAGAAAUAUACAAUUAGCUGUAACAAGACAAACAAAGAUGCACUUGAAGAUAUUCCUAAAACUGUGCAAAUUGAAAUUCAAAUAACAAAUACAAUAUUUCUUCACUGAACCAAAACCUUUUUUUUAUUUUAUGCCUGAAGACUUAUUGGGUUUUAUAUUAAUAUGUAUAAUGGGACACAUUUUUCUUGGUAACACUUGGAAUAUCAUCUGCUUAUUCAACUUAAGUUUUGGUAAAAAGUUAUCUUUAGAGAUACCAUGAAUGGAUCUUUACAAUUUCUGAGAAUAUUUAUCUAAAUAUUUAUCUAAA